CCUUCUUUAGCUUCUCAGAAAAAUAACUACUUCAUCACUGUUAUCUGUGGGAGUCUGAGCUGGUCUGAGGCCAGCAAAGGUCACCUUCAGAGUUCCUGGAAUAAAAAACAGCAACAAAACAACAGAAUCUUGAACUGGCAAUGUGUAAAUGAUGAGAGGAACAGGAAAUCUUCGAUGUUGCAGGAUGUAUUUGCAUGGAGCAUUUGCCUCUCUGCUAACCCAGGGUGAGGGCUGCCACCUAAUUAAAUAAUCUUCUGUCCUGACCCUUCAAAGGCUGUAAGCAGCUUUUCCCAGCAAAGCAGAUACUUGUUCUGGGGAAUUUUGCUAAGAAGUAUGUUCUGACUGCUCAAAGACUGCAUAACUGGGUUUGCAGUGCCAUCAUGUGUGUGAAAUGGAAUAAGUUGUUAGAGCUUUCAAGGAAGAUGUAAUGCAGCACAAUCAGACAUAUCCAUGCAAAUGAACAUUCAAGGCCCUCUCAGCUCAGGACGUGGGACUACACUGAGCUCUAGUCUGGAUUCUUAAGAAACUGAAACGUGUGUUGGAACAUAUUUUGUCCUGCUUUUCUUCUUCUCUGCGGCCUCUACCCCUCAACACUAAAUGCUUUUCAUGACAAUGGUAAGAGAGGCUGAGGUCCUGUACUGAGUUGCUUUGAAUAUAUUGAAGUUACAUACCUGAACAGGUACAGUGGUUGAAAUUAGUGUCCAUAAUGACAGAAGGGCUGCAGCAUGAGGUGAACCAUAACAAUAAAACAGCAGAGAAUCCACAAGCGAUGGACAGGAAAUUAGAUUCCAUAUGUUUUGUGAUUCAUUCUGCUAUGCUACUGAGAACAAAAGUAAAGUCAGACUUUUUUGUGUUCUUAACAUGGCUCUAAUUUUUGUGAAGCCACUGUGAGCUGGAAGAACGCUACUUCAGAUCCCUGAAUGCCAAGCAGUUAAUUUGCUUUUACUGGACCUGUGAGAAUUGAAAUAAUGAUUAAAAAUGCAGGGAAGAAAACUUAACCAGAGCUGGGAGUUUAUUCUUGGCUGUAAUGACUAAUAAUUUGUAACCGCUUACAUUAAGUGAGCUCUUGUUUGAAAAUGUAUAGAUUGUGAAUGAAUUAAUAUUAUGAAUAAAUGUUCUGAUGUUUUU
rnacentral:lncRNA from 7 species